UUUAUUGGCCGAUUGGCAGGGUAAGAAGAACCCUCGCGGGUUCGACCGAAGCCUGCAGCGCAGGCUGAGGAACGUCGGAGCAAAGCGACGACGGCCCCGAAGGGGUGAGGGCCAAAGGCCCGAAUAAUCCCUCCCAAGCGGGUC
rnacentral:sRNA from 1 species